rnacentral:rRNA from 1 species
UGGGGAAUAUUGCGCAAUGGGCGAAAGCCUGACGCAGCGACGCCGCGUGGGGGAUGACGGCCUUCGGGUUGUAAACCUCUUUCAGCAGGGACGAAGCGAAAGUGACGGUACCUGCAGAAGAAGCACCGGCCAACUACGUGCCAGCAGCCGCGGUAAUACGUAGGGUGCAAGCGUUGUCCGGAAUUAUUGGGCGUAAAGAGCUCGUAGGCGGUCUGUCGCGUCGGCUGUGAAAACCCGAGGCUCAACCUCGGGCCUGCAGUCGAUACGGGCAAACUGGAGUGUUGCAGGGGAGACUGGAAUUCCUGGUGUAGCGGUGAAAUGCGCAGAUAUCAGGAGGAACACCGGUGGCGAAGGGCGGGUCUCUGGGCAACAACUGACGCUGAGGAGCGAAAGCGUGGGGAGCGAACAGGAUUAGAUACCCUGGUAGUCCACGCCGUAAACGUUGGGCGCUAGGUGUGGGGCUCAUUCCACGAGUUCCGUGCCGCAGCUAACGCU